rnacentral:rRNA from 1 species
GACGAACGCUGGCGGCGUGCUUAACACAUGCAAGUCGAGCGGUAAGGCCCUUUCGGGGGUACACGAGCGGCGAACGGGUGAGUAACACGUGGGUGACCUGCCCUCAGCUCUGGGAUAAGCCUGGGAAACCGGGUCUAAUACUGGAUAUGACUCCAUGACGCAUGUUGUGGGGUGGAAAGCCUUGUGCGGCUGAGGAUGGGCCCGCGGCCUAUCAGCUUGUUGGUGGGGUGAGGGCCUACCAAGGCGACGACGGGUAGCCGGCCUGAGAGGGCGACCGGCCACACUGGGACUGAGACACGGCCCAGACUCCUACGGGAGGCAGCAGUGGGGAAUCUUGCGCAAUGGGCGAAAGCCUGACGCAGCGACGCCGCGUGAGGGAUGACGGUCUUCGGGUUGUAAA